rnacentral:rRNA from 1 species
UGGGGAAUUUUGGACAAUGGGGGAAACCCUGAUCCAGCCAUUCCGCGUGAGUGAAGAAGGCCUUCGGGUUGUAAAGCUCUUUCAGCAGGAACGAAACGGUAGGCUUUAAUACAGUCUGCUAAUGACGGUACCUGCAGAAGAAGCACCGGCUAACUACGUGCCAGCAGCCGCGGUAAUACGUAGGGUGCGAGCGUUAAUCGGAAUUACUGGGCGUAAAGCGUGCGCAGGCGGCGGCAUAAGACAGAUGUGAAAUCCCCGGGCUCAACCUGGGAACUGCGUUUGUGACUGUGCUGCUAGAGUGUAGCAGAGGGGGGUGGAAUUCCACGUGUAGCAGUGAAAUGCGUAGAGAUGUGGAGGAACACCGAUGGCGAAGGCAGCCCCCUGGGUUAACACUGACGCU